UACGUAGGGUGCGAGCGUUGUCCGGAAUUAUUGGGCGUAAAGAGCUCGUAGGCGGUCUGUCGCGUCGGUCGUGAAAACUUGGGGCUUAACCCUGAGCUUGCGGUCGAUACGGGCAUGACUGGAGUUCGGCAGGGGAGACUGGAAUUCCUGGUGUAGCGGUGAAAUGCGCAGAUAUCAGGAGGAACACCGGUGGCGAAGGCGGCGACCUGGUCCGAUACUGACGCUGGAGGCGCGAAAGCGUGGGGAGCAAACAGG
rnacentral:rRNA from 1 species